UUUAUAUGAUGACAAGUGACUAUCCCAGCUCACUCUGAUUUUUAUUUUUAAAAUGAAGAGAAAAUAGCUCAUAUUAAUUUAUUAAUUUUUUCUGAUAAA
rnacentral:ncRNA from 3 species